rnacentral:lncRNA from 1 species
GACCUAUUGUGUCAAAAAUGAUGCCCUGAGUGACAUUUUGAGGCUAAAAGCCUCUAAAAUAUUUGUAGUAAUUUAUAUAGUGAUUACCCUGUCUAGACCUUUUACUUUUUGCUAGACUUUCAUUUAAAUGCUGGACUUUUUUUUUUUUUUUCAGAUCAUAAAUCAGUGGCAAAUGUGCAGAUUUGGACUGUCCAAAGUUUUACCUUGAGAAUAUUUUCCUGAAGCAUUCCAAAACACUGAAAUCCUGGGAUGGCAAGAAAAAAAAAUCAAGUAAAAGAUUCACCCAUUACUGAUCUGCAGACGGCAGUGGUGAUUUCUCUGUGUUGCCACCCUUCAGAAGCUAAUGAGAUCUUUUCACAGAUCCUAUUACAAUUCACAGUAAAGUGAUCCUCUACCUGUCUUUCCUGAGGGGUCCAAUUAAGGUAAGGAUUUAUUCAAGACACGUACUGACCUGGGGCUUGCACAGUGCAAAUCUGAGAAGAACAUGAUGGUUCUUCCCUUUUAUCUCAAGAGCACUCCCCGUGCAAGAGUUUGCGCUUGCAGAUAAUCUAAAAAAGGAUUUUCUAGUUGGAUUUCUUCCACUCACUGCUUUAUAACUUGUUAUACUUCUCAUAAUUGUAGAGAGGAAAAUUAACCUAUUUCCUUUAUCUCUCCAUGGCCAUCCAGACAAUUCUCAAAAUCUAAAAAGGUGUUUGAACCAGAAUACUUUGUGUGUCAGAUGAAUAUUCCAAACUCUGGUAUAUCAAGAAGAUGUACCAUUUGUAUCUCCUAAGGAUAGUUUAUCCCAUUUCCCCUUCUAGAUGCUGAUGAGCCCUCUUUUAUGGUGUGGAUUUCAUUAGAUGUCGAAGACCCUAAAACUAACUGUAUUUAAGCUUGUAUUUACCCUUAA